rnacentral:rRNA from 1 species
GACGAACGCUGGCGGCGUGCUUAACACAUGCAAGUCGAACGGUGAAGGGACCGGUUUUUGCUGGUUCUGGAUGAGUGGCGAACGGGUGAGUAACACGUGAGUAACCUGCCCCCUUCUUCUGGAUAACCGCAUGAAAGUGUGGCUAAUACGGGAUAUUCUGCGCCUGCUGCAUGGUGGGUGUGGGAAAGAUAUUGUUUCGGUGGGGGAUGGGCUCGCGGCCUAUCAGCUUGUUGGUGGGGUGAUGGCCUACCAAGGCGGUGACGGGUAGCCGGCCUGAGAGGGUGGACGGUCACACUGGGACUGAGACACGGCCCAGACUCCUACGGGAGGCAGCAGUGGGGAAUAUUGCACAGUGGGCGCAAGCCUGAUGCAGCGACGCCGCGGGAGGGAUGGAGGCCUUCGGGUUGUAAACCUCUUUCGCCAGUGAAGCAGGCCUGUCCCUUGUGUGGGUGGGUUGACGGUAGCUGGAUAAGAAGCGCCGGCUAACUACGUG